UACGGGGGGGGCAAGCGUUGUUCGGAAUUAUUGGGCGUAAAGGGCGCGUAGGCGGCUUUGCAAGUGGCGGGUGAAAUCCCUCGGCUUAACCGAGGAACUGCCUGUCAAACUGCAUGGCUUGAGACCAGGAGAGGUGAGUGGAAUUCCCAGUGUAGCGGUGAAAUGCGUAGAUAUUGGGAGGAACACCAGUGGCGAAGGCGGCUCACUGGACUGGUACUGACGCUGAUGCGCGAAAGCGUGGGGAGCAAACAGG
rnacentral:rRNA from 1 species